GACGAACGCUGGCGGCGUGCCUAAUACAUGCAAGUCGAACGCAGUGGCGGACGGGUGAGUAACACGUGGGUAACUACCUAUUAGAGGGGGAUAACUAUUGGAAACGAUAGCUAAUACCGCAUACUAGUAGAUGGAACUGCGUUGUAUUAGCUAGUAGGUAGGGUAAUGGCCUACCUAGGCGACGAUACAUAGCCGACCUUGGAUGGUGAUCGGCCACACGGGGACUGAGACACGGGCCAGACUCCUACGGGAGGCAGCAGUAGGGAAUCUUCGGCAAUGGGGGGAACCCUGACCAAGCAACGCCGCGUGAGUGAAGAAGGUUUUCGGAUCGUAAAGCUCUGUUGUUAAGGAAGCGGUACUUAACCAGAAAGGGACGGCUAACUACGUGCCAGCAGCCGCGGUAAUUC
rnacentral:rRNA from 1 species